AGAAAUAUAAAUUAUUACACAAAUUUUACGAUUCAAAUAAAGGCUAAAUAUUUUAUUUAGGAUGGUUUAAUUUGGAAAUUUCGUUCUUCAAACUUGUAAUGGUGCCAAUCCCUGUGGAUAAGGGAUUGCAUCGCCAUCUUUUCUGUAAAAAUAAUAUUAUUAAUUAUUAUUUCUUAAAAUCUGUUAGUAGAUUAAAAUAUUUCAAGUUUAUGGUAAGAUAAGAUUAAUAUUUUUAUUUUUAUUUUUUCUGUAGAGUUUUACUGGUUCAUAUUGGGCCAGACCAUUCUGAACGAUAACACACUUGAGCAACCCAGUGAAGUUUAGUCCCUGGUUCAAAAGAUUUCGCUUUCUUUCAUAUCCAUUUUUAUUUUUAUUUUUUCAGAAGAGCCCAUAAUCCAUCUUGACCCAUUCAUUGAUCCACUGACCCACAAGGCAUGUUUUACAGAACCAUUGGGCUUCUGGAAGCUGGAAUUAAGCCAUUGUGGUUUGUUUCUUACCCUUCAUGUUGAACUUUCCAACCCAAAAGCUGGAUUGACUAGUGUCUUUCCAAAAUUUGUUUUGUUCAAUAUUGCUUGUCAUACUGGACUUGUUAUGCAGUUAUUCAAGGAGGGCAGAUUUGGCAGCAGCAGUGUUCCGACUUUUUGAUUUGUAAAUUUCAUUUCACACCUGGUUUUUUUCCUUGUCAUUGACUGUUUGUAGGUUGGCAAUGAGGAAGACAUUGGGAAAGUACAGAAUGGACAGUAAAGGUGGGUUUACUGAUUGCCUAUAUCUUUUCAUAACUUCCGCAAUAAUGGAACACCUAUGGCGUGACAGUGAGGAUUGACUUCUCCUCUCUCUGUCACAACGGGCCGUACAAAACGGAAAUCUUUAUGGACAAUCUAUCCUCC
rnacentral:lncRNA from 1 species